rnacentral:rRNA from 1 species
AACGAACGCUGGCGGCAGGCUUAACACAUGCAAGUCGAGCGCCCCGCAAGGGGAGCGGCAGACGGGUGAGUAACGCGUGGGAAUCUACCCAUCUCUACGGAAUAACGCAUGGAAACGUGUGCUAAUACCGUAUACGUCCUUCGGGAGAAAGAUUUAUCGGAGAUGGAUGAGCCCGCGUUGGAUUAGCUAGUUGGUGGGGUAAAGGCCUACCAAGGCGACGAUCCAUAGCUGGUCUGAGAGGAUGAUCAGCCACACUGGGACUGAAAGACGGCCCGGACGCUUUCGAGCGGCAGCAGUGAGGAAUCUUGGACAAUGAGCGAAAGCUUGAUCCAGCUCUCUUGCAUGAGGGAAGAAGACUUUUUCGGUUGUAAACCUCUUUCUUCAACCAGAGAUUAUGACAGAAAUUGAAGGAAAAGUCCCGGCAAACUCCGUGCCAGCCGCCGCGGUAAAAC